GAGGAAACUGAGGUCCAGGGAGCAAGAGAUCUGCUAGGCCCCAGAGUCAGGUGGUGGCAGAAGGGGGACUAGAACCAGGUCUUCUCACUCCCCACCCUGGGCUUCUCCCAACCUCUCCUGCCUGAUACACAUGACAGGUGAUGGCACAGAAACCGUGAUGGCAGCCUCCAGCCAUUGACCGGAUGCUCAUCGGGGGCAGGACCGGCAGCACAUGCUUUAGAGAAGGAUUUCAUUCAAUCCUCAGAAUGACCAGCCUCCAGGGAAGAUGAGGAAACAGGCUCAGGGGGAUUGAGCAACUUCUCCAGGACCCCCUGGGGCACGGAGGCCCUGGGACAGAGCCCAGGCCCUGGAGCUACAGCCGCAUGUCUGUCCCAGGCUGCCUCUGGGCUCACCAGGUGUGGUGGAAGCUGCAGCGAUUCAAGCAUCCGUUUCUCAGGUGUGAUGCCUGGAGCAUGAUUCUCAAAAACCAGCGUUUUGCAGUUGCCAAGAAGAAAGUCUUGUAAACAGGUUUCUUAAAGUCAUUUGUGCUUAGAGGAAACUGAGGAUGAACUCGUGGGAAGAUCACUCAGCCUCUCUAGAGUGCAGGUUUAUUGGCAGUAAAAUGAGAGGCAACCUGAGGUCCUUUUUACCUCAAAAAUUCUACAUUAUCACCGCCGUUCUGAGAAAGCAGGCCUAACACUGACUCCUCCAUCCGCCCUCAUUCACUGGCUCCCUCCGGUUCUUCUGCUCCAGUUACCGCCAUUCAACUCCAAACGCUUUCUGGUUCAUAAACAGUGCUGUACCUUUACGGCGGAAAGAACCUUCUGGGGCCAUUGCUUCCUCGGAGAGAAGCGAAGCCUUCGUAGGGAAUGCUGGACGUGCCCGUCACAAACUACCGACGAGAAAACAGGAGGAGGAGGUCAGGCCCAGCGACCAGCGGCCCAGGAAGGCCGGCAUCACCCACACGCACAGCUCCCGGAGGAGCAGCACACCGCCCGCCCCGCCGCUGGGGACGCUGGGGACAAAGCUUAUGCCGGGCACCGGCCAUCCCCAAGCAUCUGACACAGAACUGAGGAAGGACGGGGCCUUGUAAAGGGAAAGGUACGGGGG